UACCCCAAACCGACACAGGUGGUCAGGUAGAGAAUACCAAGGCGCUUGAGAGAACUCGGGUGAAGGAACUAGGCAAAAUGGUGCCGUAACUUCGGGAGAAGGCACGCUGAUAUGUAGGUGAAGCGACCUGCUCGUGGAGCUGAAAUCAGUCGAAGAUACCAGCUGGCUGCAACUGUUUAUUAAAAACACAGCACUGUGCAAACACGAAAGUGGACGUAUACGGUGUGACGCCUGCCCGGUGCCGGAAGGUUAAUU
rnacentral:rRNA from 1 species